rnacentral:lncRNA from 1 species
CAACUCAGUAAUUUGCGAUUGGUUUAUGAAUAGAACUUAUAAAAUUUGUUAAAAUAAGAGUUGCAGGUUUUGAGAAAAGAAUCUCUGAUGCAUUAGAAAGAAAUCGAAAUGGCCUUUAAAUAGCCUUACAACAACUGAAAUGAGAAAACUAAGGAAACAGAUUUGAACGUGGCUUAGUUCCUACGAUUACGCCUUAUUGAUUGACUCAACAUCACUAACUAAUAGUGACUUAGUCUUUGAUGACUUAUUCAACUCCAACAAAACCCUCCCUUAAACUGAACAUGUUGGAUCAACAUUCAGUUUAAACUCCUUGUGCUUGCAUUCCCAGAAGACUUCGCAGUUUAACAAAGGUCUCGAGCUUCACCGGCUUUGUCAUAACAUCUGCAACUUGUUCUCCCGUUCCAACGAACACUAGCUUCACCACUUCUUGAUUUGUAAGAUCACGCAAAUAGUGAUAUUUCACGUCGAUGUGCUUGGUGCGCCUAUGCAUCACCGGAUUCUUUGACAGCUUAAUUGAUGAAGUGUUAUCACAAUAAAUCUCCAUACACUUACACUCUUCGCUGAAGUUCUGCUCCAAGACUCCUUUAAACCAAACGCAAUGACACGCACAUGAAGUUGCAGCAACAUACUCCGCUUCAGUAGACGAUAAAGUCACCACCUCUUGUUUCCUUGAACUCCAACAUACUGCAGCUCCAUUUAGUAAAAACACAUAACCAGAAGUGCUUCUCCGAUCAUCAGUGUCUCCGGCAUAGUCGCUGUCUGUGUAUGCCUCCACUUUCAGCUCAGAACCUGCCUUAUAAAAAAUACCAAGCUCCAAAGUACCUUUCAGAUAUCUCAAAGCCCUCUUUGCCGCCAACAUAUGUUCUUCCCUUGGUUUUGACAUGUAACGAGAGAUCAAACAUACAACAUACAUCAUGUCAGGCCUUGUCACUGUAAGAUACAUUAGGCACCCAACAAUCUGUUUGUAAAGAGUGGCAUCUACUUCUUCUCCUCCGCCUUCUUUUGUGAGUUUAGCUCCGGGAACAAUCGGAUUUUUGACCGGAUUACAAUCCGCCAUUUUAAACCUUUCUAACACUUCUUGAGCAUACUUCUUCUGGCAUAAAUGAAUUCCAGCGUGACUUUGACGAACUUCCACACCAAGAAAGAACCUCAUUAAGCCGAGAUCAGUCAUCUCAAACUCUUGCUUCAUUGACUUUUUGAACUCUUCAAGCAACACUUCAUCAUUCCCAGCAAAAAUUAAAUCAUCAACAUAGAUACUUACCAUGAUAUACUUUUCACCUUCUCUUUUGAUGAAUAAGGUAUGAUCAUGGCUGCUUCUGUUGAAUCCUGCUUGCUUGAAGUACCCCUCAAUCCGACUAAACCAGGCUCUAGGAGCUUGUUUUAACCCGUAUAGCGCCUUUUUUAACCGAUACACCUUGUCUUCCUCACCUUUUUUGACAAAUCCUUCUGGCUGGUCCACAUACACCACUUCCUUCAAUUCUCCAUAAAGAAAAGCACUUUUUACGUCUAAUUGGUACACCUUCCAUCCUCUUUGCGCAGACACAGCCAAAAGAAUUCGAAUUGUAUCCCAACGAGCUACCGGAGCAAAGACUUCAUCAUAGUCAAUGCCUUCUUCUUGAGCAUAACCUUUCACGACCAAACGCGCCUUAUAUUUAUCGACUUUUCCAUCCUCAUUCAGCUUGGUUUUGAAAACCCAUUUGACUCCAAUCCUUUUGGCCUCAGCCGGUAAUCUUACAAGAUCCCAAGUAUCAUUCUUCUCAAUGGACUGAAUUUCGCUUCUCAUUGCCUCCAUCCACUUCUCUUCUUUACUUGCUUCUGUAAACUGGACUGGAUCACCAUGAGAUAAAAACAGAGCCAUCGCCAACUCUGCUUCAGCCUCUCCAUCCGAGAUCCUCUCCCCACUUUCAUAGUCUUGCAUCCAAAUAGGUGCCCUUCUCUCUCGUUGCUCACGUAUCUCUGGCUGCGGAGAAUUGAGAUUUUCAACAUUGAGAUGCUCCUCGAUUUCACCCUCUUCUUCGAUCUCUUCUGCGCCAUCUUCUCUGUUUUGAUCUUCUUCUUCUCCCCAAUCUAAGACAUCACUGAGACCUUUCUCAUCUGCGCUCCAAUCCCACUUCUCCUCCUCUUCAAAAAUCACAUCUCGGCUAGUGACUACUGUUUUGGAGAUUGGAUCAUAGAGUCGAUAUGCUUUCGAUUCCUCACUUACACCAAGAAGAAUGCAUUUUCGGCUUCUGCUAUCAAGUUUUAUUCUUCGCUGCUCUGGUACGUGUGCGUGGCCGAUGCAACCGAACACUCUGAAAUAAUUCACGCUCGGUUUUAUCCCACUCCAGCAUUCUUCAGGCACCAUGUCUUUCACCGCACUUGUCACACUUCUGUUCAACACAUGACAUGUCCACUUUGCAGCCUCAGGCCAAAAACGCUUUGGCAUACUCUUCUCCGUAAGCAAGCAUCGGACCAUAUUCAUUAUUGUGCGAUUUCUUCUUUCGGCGACACCAUUUUGUUGUGGCGUGUAGGCUGCGGUUAACUGUCUCUUAAUCCCAUUUUCUUCACAAAACUGAUUGAACACAUUUGAGGUGAACUCUCCUCCCCUAUCAGUCCUCAAACAACCAAUUUCUGUUCCUGAUUCUUUCUCCACAAGAGCUUUAAAAAUCUUGAAAGUAUCAAACGCCUCAUUUUUUUCAGAGAGAAGGUAGAUCCAACUUUUGCGGCUAAAGUCAUCAAUCAAAAGGAAGAUGUACCUUUUUCCACUGUGAGAGGUUGGAGAAAUAGGGCCGCAUAAGUCUGCAUGAAUGAGCUUUAGCUUCUCCGCAGCUCUCCAUUGGCUCUUCUUUGGUAUAGUUUCUCGGUGUUGCUUUCCGAUGUUACAGACUUCGCAAACCUUAGGGAUUUCUUUCAUUGGAGGUAGACCAUUUACCAGUUUCUUGUCAUGCAUACUCUGGAUAGAUGUGUUAUUGAGAUGUCCGUAACGCUUGUGCCAGAGGGUCGCCACUUCAUCUUCUUCGAUUUUCAGACAUUGAUUGGGAUCGGUUUUCAUAAUAGCUGACACAAUGAACAUGCGAUUUGCAGUCAUUUUUGUGCUCACAAUCAAACCUCUGCGAGGAUGAUAGAUCUUACACACUCCUUUGCUAAUCAGAACAUCCACACCCUUUUCUUGUAAUUGCCCAACACUCAACAGAUUAUUAGUCAGGUUUGGAACAAAGAACACGUCACUUACAAUUUGAGUCACUCCGUCAACCUCAAAUUUGACGUCUCCUUUUCCCACAACCUCCAUUCUUGAACUGUUGCCCAAUCUCACCGCAUGCCUGAAACUAUCAUCGAUCUCCAUGAACCAUUCUUUAUUUCCCGUCAUGUGAUUGGAACAUCCCGAAUCCAGAAACCACAGACCACUUUUCUUCGUUUCUUGAGUCUCUGUUUGCGCCAUUAGAAGCAAUGCCUCUCCUUCAUCGAACUCAGCAUAGUUUGCUUCCUUUUCAGCGGUUGGACACUCGUAUUGAAAAUGUCCCAGUUUGUGACAUCUAAAACAUUCAAUGGUAGCUUUGUCGAAACUUGGUCUGGUUCCUCCUCUUCCUCUUGACACGUUGCUACCUCCUCUUCUACCAUUGUAGCCCCUACCUCUUCCUCGUCCAGAGUUGUCGUACUCAACUUUUAGUACUUGCUCUUCGACUCCCCUACGUCGUAUCUUCUGUUCGUGAACAAGCAGUGAGCUGUGUAGCCCGUCGACAGUCAUCUGGUCAAUGUCCUUUGAUUCUUCUAUAGAGCACACGACAUAGUUAAAAUUCUCCGUUAGUGUUCGAAGAAUUUUUUCAACGAUCUUCACAUCUUCCAUGUUUUCUCCGCAGUUCCGCAUAUCGUUUGAUGUCACCAUGACUCUCCCGAAAUAAUCUGUCACUGUUUCUCCCACCUUCAUCUCUAAGGUUUCGAAAACUCUACGAAGUCUCUGUAGCUGCGCACGUUUCACCCUUUCAUUGCCUUGAUACUUGAUUUUCAUGGAAUCCCAUAAAAGCUUAGCGGUCUCCUUUUGAGUGAUGGUCUUCAAGAUCGACUUGUCAAUGGACUGGAAGAGAUAGUUCUUUGCCUUCAAGUCCUUUAGCCUUGCUUCAUCUAACACCUUCUGUUGUGCUGCGGACAGCACUUCUCCUUCUCCGGGUUCCUUAAAACCAGGUUGAAUCACACACCAAUACUCCUUUGAACGCAACAGGUUCUCCAUUAGUAAACUCCAAUGGUCGUAAUCUCCAUCGAAUUUUGGCACACACGGGGCAUUGAAGUUACUUGAUUCAGCUGCCAUCUCUCACACCGAUUUCUUUUCUCACACUCACUCAAAAUACACACUCGUUUCUCACUCCGUCAGAUCCCUUUUGAGAGGGCUCUGAUACCACAAUGUUAAAAUAAGAGUUGCAGGUUUUGAGAAAAGAAUCUCUGAUGCAUUAGAAAGAAAUCGAAAUGGCCUUUAAAUAGCCUUACAACAACUGAAAUGAGAAAACUAAGGAAACAGAUUUGAACGUGGCUUAGUUCCUACGAUUACGCCUUAUUGAUUGACUCAACAUCACUAACUAAUAGUGACUUAGUCUUUGAUGACUUAUUCAACUCCAACAAAAUUAUUGACUCAAAGAAUUUCAUGAUAAGAAAAGGCACUCAGAAUGAGUAGGAGGUAUAUAUUCA